CAAACACUGAGCAUCUGUCACGUGUGGAGCACUGUCCUGGAAACAGGGAAAAGGGCGGAGCUCCCACCUAACAGAGGAGGCUGGCCACGGACAGAAGGAAAUACAGCAUGCCUGGCGACAAUACAGAGCCAGGAGAAAAGCCACAGGGCAGUCAGGGAAAGCCUCCUGGAGACUUGGGCAAGAGACCCAAAGGAAGUGAAGGGGCGGGCAAGAUGGGAGAAGAGCAUCUGGAACAGCAUGUGCAGAGACCCAGGGCCAGGGCUGUCACUGGCAUGUUCCGGGGCUGGAUAACUGCAGUCUCAGAGAAGACCCCCAGAAACCCAAAAUGCUUCCAGCCACAGAGGAGGAGAGCAGCUGGCAGCCAGAAGCAUCCAUUCCAAGUGAGAGACAUCGAAGGGAACAAGGCUUAACCGCCUUGUCUUUGAACAGCACUAAAUGAUUCAGCAAAAGGGAUGAGAGGAAACCUUUGGCCAUGUCACGGGUUCACAGCCAUCUGUAUAUGUUCCUAUAGUCCUGCUUUGUACCUCCAGCCUAAAUGAUGGGGAGGUCGUUUGAAGAUGAGACUGACCCUUCACUACAUGUGCUGCUUCCAACCCCAGAUUCCAUCAGGCUGCACUUCUGAGAUUCAGUGAACUCCCACUCAUCCUUCAAAACCCUAUCUCAA
rnacentral:lncRNA from 1 species